rnacentral:lncRNA from 1 species
GAUUCCAGCUCUUCAUAUAGCUGCUGCCUCACAGAAUUAGGAUGAGUAGUGGGAAGAACUGAGUGUGGGAAUGAAGCAGAUGGGACAGAGUCCAAGAACCCAAAAGCAAGGAGGAAGAGACAGUACCGGGGCAUGAAUAGCCUUGGAGGGUUCCUGACGCCAGCCUGCAGUUCCUGGAGCUCCAGCACCUCAUCCACAACAUUUGCGAAUGGACAAGGCAGGAGUGAGGAAGAAAGGUUUCAUCUUCAGAGAAGAGGUAUCAGUAGUGUAGGGGUGAAGGUGAUGGAAGAAACGGUUGUGGAACAAAAGGAAUAGAAAGCUCCCGGCAAGGAUGGAGGCAGCACUGUUUGUUGGACAACUGAAUUGGCCCAGGUGGCCCCUGCACUCUCAGGAGCAUGGACCUCCCUGAGUGGUGCCUUGGGCCCCUGGAAGGAAGAUGUGGAGAGGACCACAAGGAUGGGGUUUUUAGUCAUUGACACCAAGAUGUUGGGAAUCAUUGGAGAAAUAAAAAGCAGAUGAUGAGCAAUCCGCUUUCAAUCAAGAAGUGGCAGCAA